rfam:Bacillus sp. B-jedd genome assembly, contig: CONTIG000001
GUACGAUAAAGGCAAACCCGCUGAAAAACGGGGACGCAAAACUAGAGGGGCUAAAGCUAUAAAAAUAGCCAUGCCAGCCAGUUUCCGAU